AGAUCAUGAUGUGGGAAGUUCCUUAGUAAGCCCUUGUAUCUCUCACAUGCCUCAAAAAGUGAUUCGCUAGCUUGUUGCUCAAAGUUUGCUAUGGCUUUCUUCAACUU